ensembl:lncRNA
AUAACAUGGACAUUUUACUGUUGAAUUUGUUACCAUACUUGUCUCUUAUCUGCUCUGUUAAAACAGCCCAGUAAUCCUUUAAUUUGUGUCACAUGGCUGUUGGCUGGAGCAGAGUCACUAAACGAAGGCAGGUUUUUUUGUUUGUUGCAGAGGCAUUUUUGAAAAAAAAUAAUAGAUGUAGACUAUAGUCAGUUUGAUGAAAUGGCACAAUUUUAGGCUUAGAUUUGGUUGAGUUUUAUUAAAGGGCCAUUGGAAAGUUGAAACCCGGAUUAUUUAUUUGUUCUUCCAGUUUCCUGCUCUGAUAAAUGAUGUAAUUUUGGCAUUUUUUAAAGACAAACAUGCCUGUUGUUCAGAGGGUUAAAGGACAUUUUAAAGUAAACAUCCCUCUAACGAAACCCCAAGAACUUGGAUGAAUAGGAAUUAAGAAAUGGCAUCAUACAAUAAUAACGCUGACCUUGUAGUUAUUACUUUACAGUUUAUUGGUGCAUGUUUUAUAUAUUUUACACAAUGUUUUAUAAUUUUUAUCUCACGAUGUACUGUUUAUCUAUUCAAUAUUUAACACUUGAGGCUCCAUACUUUUAGUUGCUACUUUUGUGUUUGAAGUUAGUGAAUGGCUAAAGGGUAUAUGGGUGAAGUGAUAGUGAGAAGGUAAAUAAAUGAGUGCUGGUUAGAGUAGUCUAAUUUGUGAGGAAUAGUUUUGAGGUUUGUAGCUGUUAAAAGUUUUUUUUUUUUUUUUUUUUUGGUAAGAGGUGCGGGCAAAGCAAAGUGUGUUGGUUCAUACUUUGGUGUGUGAAGACGUCCACUUUUAGUUUCAGUUCAUCAUAAUGAAUGUGUCGGGACGUGCGCGAGAAUGCUGUACAAUGUUGAGAUGCAUUUAUGAUAAGGUGCGUCAAAGUCGGAAAUGCUGAAUGUUCGGUCAGUCGCAUCACAUAAAGUUGUGCUUUCUGUUUUCUUUUCCAACUAUUAAGCACCACAGGAAGACUGCGAGAUGAGUUGAGAAUUCCUCAAGCUUUUUAACCACCCGCACUUCCAUUUCUCUCGCGCUGCACAGCAAAAGUAGUUUUUUCUUUUCAUUGUGACAGAAAAAGUUUACAUUUCAUACACAUAAAAGCAAGCUUUCACACCGUAGGUAAAAGUGCCAACUUGACUUAGUUGCGAGCUGCUUGGGUGAACGAACUUGAAAUCAUGACAUGCUUGACAUUUAGCAAUUUCUCCUGAUGUUUGUGGUGAACAAUCUUGAUUUCAGAUGGUCACAUUCAUGUCUGUGGCUAGAUCAGAGAUUCUCUGAAGGGGGUGUGUGUGUGUUUAGCAGAUUUCAAAGGUUAUUUUGAAGUGAUGUUUUCUCAUUACUAAUCUGAUCAUUGUAACUGGAGUGGUGUGAUCUGUCACUGUGGGUGGAGAUUUGAUAUAAGGCUAUAAAAACAUUUCCUGUGUUGUGGUGUGAUUUUGUAGGCAUCUAACAACUGGGCUUAGAAUGGAAGGAUUUGUAGGUUAGAGGUGGUUUUUGCAGAGGCGUCAGGCAGCACUUGAAAAGUCUAAUCAUGUGUCAGUAUUCUACAAAUUUCAGUACGACUGAUGGUGGAUACAUCUGUGUUUGAAACAUUAACCUUUAAGUAGCAGACAGUUUUGCCAAAAUGCAUUUGUGGGGUUUUGAGUUGAAGUUUUCAGCUGCUAACUUGAGUAUUGACAGUUUUGUUCCAUUAGUUCAGAUGUGAAGCCUUCAGAGCAACUCGGAAGAGAACUAUAAAUGUAAACAUUUUAAUUUAUGUAAUGUUGCUGAGUUGAAUUCUUAGCCACUGAGAGUCGCCCUGUGUGUCACUGCCUCGACAGCCAGUCAGUGGGAUGUUAUUUCUCGUAAUCUGCUCGUCUGUUAUGUUGUAGAGUGCAUAGUUCUCCAGUGGUGUAGCAAGUGGCAGGUGUGGUUCAUUCACGGAGUCAAUCGAGUCCAUCGUGUCAGCCGAGACUUAAUGCUCUUAAAUAAAUGUGGUCAUGUAGGUUAGAUAUUGUGCACACAGUUGAGUUCGAUUUGAGGAAGUGAUCCAGUUCUGUCUCAGUGACAAUAAAACAGAGGAGGAUGUGACACUGCUCAUCAAUGCAGCAAAGCGUGUCGUUACAUCCAUGAUGUUUUUGCAUUCAGCUCACACCGUAACCCUGUUGGACGCCAUGGGCUCAACGCUGUUAGAAACUUCUGCUAAAGGUUUUCCUCUCAUGGGGCAAGAAGUAGUUAAGGAUUUAUUUUGCAGUGACUGCACCAAAAUAUGAUACGAUAGUACUCAAACGAAUAGAAUGGCGUGGCUUUUUGUCAUGAUUUAAAUGAGACUGAACUGAAAUUAUGCCAUUUUGUCAUUGUGCUAAAAUGAAUAUAAAUAUUAUAUAUUAAAAUAUAUUUGCUAACCAAACUGUG